rnacentral:rRNA from 1 species
UUUAUGGAGAGUUUGAUCCUGGCUCAGAGUGAACGCUGGCGGCGUGCCUAAUACAUGCAAGUCGAACGAUGAAGCUUCUAGCUUGCUAGAGUGCUGAUUAGUGGCGCACGGGUGAGUAACGCAUAGGUCAUGUGCCUCUUAGUUUGGGAUAGCCAUUGGAAACGAUGAUUAAUACCAGAUACUCCCUAUGGGGGAAAGAUUUAUCGCUAAGAGAUCAGCCUAUGUCCUAUCAGCUUGUUGGUAAGGUAAUGGCUUACCAAGGCUAUGACGGGUAUCCGGCCUGAGAGGGUGAACGGACACACUGGAACUGAGACACGGUCCAGACUCCUACGGGAGGCAGCAGUAGGGAAUAUUGCUCAAUGGGGGAAACCCUGAAGCAGCAACGCCGCGUGGAGGAUGAAGGUUUUAGGAUUGUAAACUCCUUUUGUUAGAGAAGAUAAUGACGGUAUCUAACGAAUAAGCACCGGCUAACUCCGUGCCAGCAGCCGCGGUAAUACGGAGGGUGCAAGCGUUACUCGGAAUCACUGGGCGUAAAGAGCGCGUAGGCGGGAUAGUCAGUCAGGUGUGAAAUCCUAUGGCUUAACCAUAGAACUGCAUUUGAAACUACUAUUCUAGAGUGUGGGAGAGGUAGGUGGAAUUCUUGGUGUAGGGGUAAAAUCCGUAGAGAUCAAGAGGAAUACUCAUUGCGAAGGCGACCUGCUGGAACAUUACUGACGCUGAUUGCACGAAAGCGUGGGGAGCAAACAGGAUUAGAUACCCUGGUAGUCCACGCCCUAAACGAUGGAUGCUAGUUGUUGGAGGGCUUAGUCUCUCCAGUAAUGCAGCUAACGCAUUAAGCAUCCCGCCUGGGGAGUACGGUCGCAAGAUUAAAACUCAAAGGAAUAGACGGGGACCCGCACAAGCGGUGGAGCAUGUGGUUUAAUUCGAAGAUACACGAAGAACCUUACCUAGGCUUGACAUUGAGAGAAUCCGCUAGAAAUAGUGGAGUGUCUAGCUUGCUAGACCUUGAAAACAGGUGCUGCACGGCUGUCGUCAGCUCGUGUCGUGAGAUGUUGGGUUAAGUCCCGCAACGAGCGCAACCCCCUUUCUUAGUUGCUAACAGGUUAUGCUGAGAACUCUAAGGAUACUGCCUCCGUAAGGAGGAGGAAGGUGGGGACGACGUCAAGUCAUCAUGGCCCUUACGCCUAGGGCUACACACGUGCUACAAUGGGGUGCACAAAGAGAAGCAAUACUGCGAAGUGGAGCCAAUCUUCAAAACGCCUCUCAGUUCGGAUUGUAGGCUGCAACUCGCCUGCAUGAAGCUGGAAUCGCUAGUAAUCGCAAAUCAGCCAUGUUGCGGUGAAUACGUUCCCGGGUCUUGUACUCACCGCCCGUCACACCAUGGGAGUUGUGUUUGCCUUAAGUCAGGAUGCUAAAUUAGCUACUGCCCACGGCACACACAGCGACUGGGGUGAAGUCGUAACAAGGUAACCGUAGGUGAACCUGCGGUUGGAUCACCUCCUUUCUAGA